GUCACCGCUGUUAUCAAUUCAUCAAUGAGAUCCUUUGAGAGACCCUGCUCAACCAAAUAUUCCCGCAAGGAGAUGUUGAAAAUCUAAUGCUCUUGCCAUCAAAAAGUGAGAAGCGACCUCCGGAAACACUUCUCUUCUCAAGACCUAAAAUAUUGAAGAGAGUAAUCAUAGCAAUUUUUGAUAGUCUAAUGAAAAUGUCAAUUUUGACAGUGUUAUAGCUUUGCAGUUAUGAGAUAUAAUUGGUUGUUUGCGUUUAUAUUAUUUGAAGUGCAUCAAAAUGAACUCACCCAACAAUUCUGCAAAUCUUCUCAUGUACAAGUUGUCUGGAUGAAUGAUGCUCCCCCCUGAUUCAAACCUCUCUCCGAAGCAAGUCAGGGUGGAUAAUCUACCUCCGAUGCGAUCACUCUUCUCGAAGACAGCAAUGUGUGCUGUUUUUCCAAAUAAUUCACGCAAAAAAUACGCAGAGGCAGAUCCGGCUAUUCCUCCUCCGAUAAUCGCAAUACGUGGCGAUUUUUCGUCGCUCUUAAUAGCCGCAAGCACAUCAACACUCACGGCAAUUGCAAUUGAAAGCAAAGAAGCACACCGAACGGAUAUUUUAUGCAUUAUUCAUAGCCUGUCAAACCUUGUGGACAGUUAUUGUUUAGGUAAUCAAAAAUUACACUUUACUGUCCGAA